rnacentral:rRNA from 1 species
UACGAAGGGGGCUAGCGUUGCUCGGAAUCACUGGGCGUAAAGGGUGCGUAGGCGGGUCUUUAAGUCAGGGGUGAAAUCCCGGAGCUCAACUCCGGAACUGCCCUUGAAACUGCAGUGCUAGAAUCCUGGAGAGGCGAGUGGAAUUCCGAGUGUAGAGGUGAAAUUCGUAGAUAUUCGGAAGAACACCAGUGGCGAAGGCGACUCGCUGGACAGGUAUUGACGCUGAGGUGCGAAAGCGUGGGGAGCAAACAGG